rnacentral:rRNA from 1 species
UAGGGAAUAUUAGAAAUGGACGAAAGUCUGAUCUAGCAACACCGCGUGUGCGAAGAAGGCCUUUGGGUCGUAAAGCACUUUUUGGAAGGAAUAGGAAGGAAUGUACUUCCAGAAUAAGUCUCGGCUAACUACGUGCCAGCAGCCGCGGUAACACGUAGGAGGCAAACGUUAUCCGGAUUUACUGGGCGUAAAGCGCGUGUAGGUGGUACUGUAAGUAGGGCGUGAAAGCUCCUGGCUCAACUGGGAGAGGCCGUUCUAAACUACAG